rnacentral:rRNA from 1 species
AGAGUUUGAUCCUGGCUCAGGACGAACGCUGGCGGCACGCUUAACACAUGCAAGUCGAACGAGAGAAGAGGAGCUUGCUUUUCUGAUCUAGUGGCGGACGGGUGAGUAACACGUGAGCAAUCUGCCUUUCAGAGGGGGAUACCGAUUGGAAACGAUCGUUAAUACCGCAUAACAUAAUUGAACCGCAUGAUUUGAUUAUCAAAGAUUUAUCGCUGAAAGAUGAGCUCGCGUCUGAUUAGCUAGUUGGUAAGGUAACGGCUUACCAAGGCGACGAUCAGUAGCCGGACUGAGAGGUUGAUCGGCCACAUUGGGACUGAGACACGGCCCAGACUCCUACGGGAGGCAGCAGUGGGGAAUAUUGCACAAUGGAGGAAACUCUGAUGCAGCGAUGCCGCGUGAGGGAAGAAGGUUUUAGGAUUGUAAACCUCUGUCUUCAGGGACGAAAAAAGACGGUACCUGAGGAGGAAGCUCCGGCUAACUACAUGCCAGCAGCCGCGGUAAUACGUAGGGAGCGAGCGUUGUCCGGAAUUACUGGGUGUAAAGGGAGCGUAGGCGGGAUCGCAAGUCAAAUGUGAAAACUAUGGGCUUAACCCAUAAACUGCAUUUGAAACUGUGGUUCUUGAGUGAAGUAGAGGUAAGCGGAAUUCCUAGUGUAGCGGUGAGAUGCGUAGAUAUUAGGAGGAACAUCAGUGGCGAAGGCGGCUUACUGGGCUUUAACUGACGCUGAGGCUCGAAAGCGUGGGGAGCAAACAGGAUUAGAUACCCUGGUAGUCCACGCCGUAAACGAUGAUUACUAGGUGUGGGGGGACUGACCCCUUCCGUGCCGCAGCAAACGCAAUAAGUAAUCCACCUGGGGAGUACGACCGCAAGGUUGAAACUCAAAGGAAUUGACGGGGGCCCGCACAAGCAGUGGAGUAUGUGGAUUAAUUCGAAGCAACGCGAAGAACCUUACCAGGUCUUGACAUCGUAUGCAUAGCUCAGAGAUGAGUGAAAUCUCUUCGGAGACAUAUAGACAGGUGGUGCAUGGUUGUCGUCAGCUCGUGUCGUGAGAUGUUGGGUUAAGUCCCGCAACGAGCGCAACCCUUACUGUUAGUUGCUACGCAAGAGCACUCUAGCAGGACUGCCGUUGACAAAACGGAGGAAGGUGGGGAUGACGUCAAAUCAUCAUGCCCCUUAUGACCUGGGCCUCACACGUACUACAAUGGCUGUCAACAGAGGGAAGCAAAGCCGCGAGGUGGAGCGAACCCCUAAAAGCAGUCUUAGUUCGGAUUGUAGGCUGCAACCCGCCUACAUGAAGUCGGAAUUGCUAGUAAUCGCAGAUCAGCAUGCUGCGGUGAAUACGUUCCCGGGCCUUGUACACACCGCCCGUCACGCCAUGGGAGUCGGUAACACCCGAAGCCUGUAGUCUAACCGCAAGGAGGACGCAGUCGAAGGUGGGAUUGAUGACUGGGGUGAAGUCGUAACAAGGUA